UACGUAGGGGGCAAGCGUUGUCCGGAUUUAUUGGGCGUAAAGAGCUCGUAGGCGGUUCCGUAAGUCGGGUGUGAAAAUCUGGGCUCAACCCAGUGGAGCACCCGAUACUGCGGUGACUGGAGUCCGGUAGGGGAGUGUGGAAUUCCUGGUGUAGCGGUGAAUGACGCAGAUAUCGAGGAGGACACCAGCGGCGAAGGCGGACGUCCUGGACUGGUACUGACGGCUCGAGGAGCGAAAGCGUGGGGAGCGAUCCGG
rnacentral:rRNA from 1 species